rnacentral:tRNA from 1 species
GGCUUUGUAGCUCAGCUGGUAGAGCGCUUGCCAUGUUGAGGUAUGCUGUGUCUGUCGCUUGUUAGAAUCCAGCCGAAGCCG